rnacentral:rRNA from 1 species
UGGGGUAUAUUGGACAAUGGGCGAAAGCCUGAUCCAGCCAUGCCGCGUGUGUGAAGAAGGUCUUCGGAUUGUAUAGCACUUUAAGUUGGGAGGAAGGGCAGUAAGCGAAUACCUUGCUGUUUUGACGUUACCGACAGAAUAAGCACCGGCUAACUCUGUGCCAGCAGCCGCGGUAAUACAGAGGGUGCAAGCGUUAAUCGGAAUUACUGGGCGUAAAGCGCGCGUAGGUGGUUCGUUAAGUUGAAUGUGAAAGCCCCGGGCUCAACCUGGGAGCUGCAUCCAAAACUGGCGAGCUAGAGUAGGGCAGAGGGUGGUGGAAUUUCCUGUGUAGCGGUGAAAUGCGUAGAUAUAGGAAGGAGCACCAAUGGCGAAGGCGACCACCUGGGCUCAUACUGACGCUGAGGUGCGAAAGCGUGGGGAGCAAACAGG